AUUGAACGCUGGCGGCAGGCCUAACACAUGCAAGUCGAGCGGAUGAAGAGAGCUUGCUCUCUGAUUCGGCGGCGGACGGGUGAGUAAUGCCUAGGAAUCUGCCUGGUAGUGGGGGACAACGUUUCGAAAGAACGCUAAUACCGAAUACGUCCUACGGGAGAAAGUGGGGGAUCUUCGGACCUCACGCUAUCAGAUGAGCCUAGGUACGAGUAGCUAGUUGGUGAGGUAAAGGCUCACCAAGGCGACGAUCGUUAACUGGUCUGAGAGGAUGAUCAGUCACACUGGAACUGAGACACGGUCCAGACUCCUACGGGAGGCAGCAGUGGGGAAUAUUGGACAAUGGGCGAAAGCCUGAUCCAGCCAUGCCGCGUGUGUGAAGAAGGUCUUCGGAUUGUAAAGCACUUUAAGUUGGGAGGAAGGGCAGUAAGUUAAUACCUUGCUGUUUUGACGUUACCGACAGAAUAAGCACCGGCUAACUUCGUGCCAGCAGCCGCCGCUG
rnacentral:rRNA from 1 species